AUCAAAAGAAGCACACAUGAUGAAGUACUUGCAAAGAGAAUUGGUUUUGGCAUGGGCCAUUUUCAUUCAAUUUUUUUUCUUUUUAGAAUAAAUUUGCUUAAUUUCUAUUUCAUAAUUGAAACUUUAGAAAAAAAAAAGGUUAGAAUCUGCCUAUAUAGAGUUGCAUCCUCCCUCCAAUUUUCACUGGUCUGCUUUAGCUUCCAUCCAUGGAGUUUCAUUUACUGACACAGAGAAAAAAAAUUUGUUACACAAACUUUUGGCAGCUUGCAUUCGCAGUAGGCCAUUGUUGAAAAAAUGGUUUCAUCUUACUGUCAAGCAAAGUUAAAAGACUGGAGGUAGCAGAAAUUGCUGGUUGAAGAAGGAGGAGCAGUAAUGUCGUUUUGAGGAGAUGAUCAAGUCGUUUUAUGUUUAAAGUUGUUUACCAGUGUUUUCACUUUAGUUACCAAGUUAUUUUUCCAAGUUACUGUUGGAAGUAAUUUUUUAUUUUGCUAUACUGUGUUGUUUUGGUUGUAAAUCCGUUAGGCUUGGUUGGUUGGCUGUCUUGGGAAUCUGCACACUACUAUGGCUUACAGCCCAUGGUUGUGGAGAAACUAUGUUGUUUAACCUUACUGCAUCUUCUUUCUUUUCUUUUGAUUCUGGUUGUUGCUAUUCUUAUUGUUCUGCAGCCCAAAGUGGCAUCUAGGAGAUCCUACACUGAGUGGAUAAAGGAGAGCACAAAGAACAGUGGCGAACUAGAUGCUGACAUAGAACGCAUCUUAAGAGGAACUAGGGAGCUUCAGUUAGAAAGCAAUUCCAUUCAGGAACGCCUUCAGUUGAUGUUUAUAUGCAGGGAAGUAAAGAAAGACCCUGUCAGGCGACGGGCUGCUCACUAGCAUACAUGAGAGCUUUGAGCAAAUCUCUGAGAAAAUUCUCGCGACUGAUAGAAUCCGAACAGAAAUGGCUGACCAUGAAAAGAAACUAGCAGGCAUGGCUUCCUGAAGCUUAAAUGUAGACAAGCUACCUACAAGCUGAUCUUGAUGCCAUUGUGAAGGAAAAUGAGUACCUGGAGCAACAACUUUGAGACAAUUGAACCUACUUCUUGACACUAGAAAUAAAAUGUAACAGGUUCUGAGACAAUUCUCAUGCAUCCCUAAAAAAAGAAGGCCCCAAGCAUGGAAAGCAGCCUUUGAGAUUCCAAGUUUAAUGCAUGGAAAGAAGGCCCAUAGCAAAUCAUGAUUAUUUGUCUUAGUGUUUCUGUUUUUAUUUAUUUUUUGUUAUUAUUAUAAUUAUCAAGAUUCUAUAUAUGCUUUUCUCUUGUAAAGCUGUUGUUCUUUGUAAAUUUGGGUCUUCUCAGCCUUGUGUAAUUGCCAUUCUAUUAAUGUAUAUUCAAAGAAUUGGUUGAUGAGAAGUUAAA